UACAGAGGUCUCAAGCGUUGUUCGGAUUCAUUGGGCGUAAAGGGCGCGUAGGCGGCCAGGCAAGUCGGGUGUGAAAGCUUGGGGCUUAACCCCGAAAGGGCACUCGAAACUGCCCUGCUAGAGGGCCGGAGAGGAGAUCGGAAUUCACGGUGUAGCAGUGAAAUGCGUAGAGCUCGUGAGGAAGACCGGUGGCGAAGGCGGAUCUCUGGACGGCCCCUGACGCUGAGGCGCGAAGGCUAGGGGAGCAAACGGG
rnacentral:rRNA from 1 species